GCGCUCACUCACCAAUAUAUAUACUAUAUAUUUUUUGCAAACGAUCACAAACGCCACGAAUUAAAUUACAAUCUGUUCACCGUGCUUUGAGUUAAUAAUAAUAAUAAUAAAAACUCCACCUUUUUGUUAAUUUUUCUAAUAAUCCAUGUUUCAUGUU